ACGAACGCUGGCGGCGUGCUUAACACAUGCAAGUCGAACGGAAAGGCCCCUUUGGGGGUACUCGAGUGGCGAACGGGUGAGUAACACGUGAGUAACCUGCCCUUGACUUCGGGAUAACUUCAGGAAACUGGGGCUAAUACCGGAUAGGAAUCCUUGCUGCAUGGUGGGGGUUGGAAAGCUUCGGCGGUUUUGGAUGGACUCGCGGCUUAUCAGCUUGUUGGUGGGGUAGUGGCUUACCAAGGCUUUGACGGGUAGCCGGCCUGAGAGGGCGACCGGCCACAUUGGGACUGAGAUACGGCCCAGACUCCUACGGGAGGCAGCAGUGGGGAAGAUUGCACAAUGGGCGGAAGCCUGAUGCAGCAACGCCGCGUGCGGGAUGACGGCCUUCGGGUUGUAAACUGCUUUCAGCAGGGGCGAAGCUUGUGGUGACGGUACCUGCAGAAGAAGCACCGGCUAACUACGUG
rnacentral:rRNA from 1 species